AAUGAACGCUGGCGGCAGGCCUAACACAUGCCAGUCGAGCGAAGUCUUCGGACUUAGCGGCGGACGGGUGAGUAACGCGUGGGAACAUGCCCUUUGGUGCGGAAUAGCCCCGGGAAACUGGGAGUAAUACCGCAUGUGCCCUUCGGGGGAAAGAUUUAUCGCCAAAGGAUUGGCCCGCGUUGGAUUAGGUAGUUGGUGGGGUAAUGGCCUACCAAGCCGACGAUCCAUAGCUGGUUUGAGAGGAUGAUCAGCCACACUGGGACUGAGACACGGCCCAGACUCCUACGGGAGGCAGCAGUGGGGAAUCUUAGACAAUGGGCGCAAGCCUGAUCUAGCCAUGCCGCGUGAUCGAUGAAGGCCUUAGGGUUGUAAAGCUCUUUCAGUGGGGAAGAUAAUGACGGUACCCACAGAAGAAGCCCCGGCUAACUCCGUG
rnacentral:rRNA from 1 species